CCAUGCCUCCUCCGCUCAUCAAGCACCCCCGAGUUCUCAAAGAAAAGGAACCAUAUAUGAAGUUAGCCAGUCCAUAGGUCUAUCUGACAAAGUAGAUGCACUAUCCCGCAAGUUGGACCAGCUAAUGUCUAGAGAACAGCUUCCAAACUUUCCCCAAGCACAAGUUUGUGCUCUUUGUUCUAGCCCAUCUCACCCUAUUCAUGAAUGCCCUUCGGCAGCUCAAUUUCCUGAAUUUGUGCAAGAACAAGUUAAUGCUGCCCAAGCAUAGUCCCGACCGGAUAAUGAUCCGUAUUCUAACACUUAUAACCCAGGAUGGCGCAACCAUCCAAAUUUCUCUUGGAAGCAGCAGACUUCCAAUACCUCCCAGCCGUAUUUCCAAAACUUCCAACCGUUCCAGAAUGUUCAUCCGAACCGUCCUCCGACUCACUAUUUACAAUUUCAACAUGUCCCUCCUCCA
rnacentral:lncRNA from 1 species